GACAGAUGGUGCGAGCGUUAUUCGAUGUUACUGGGUGUAAAAGGUAUGUAGGCGGCCAACGGGGUUUUCGCAAAAAUGGUGGGGUAUUACCAUACCGAGUUGAUUACUUAAACUGGCUUGAGUUGAAUAGAAGUUUGAGAGAAUGUUGUGGUGAGGGGUAGAAUCCGGCGAUCCAUGAUCGAUUGUCAACUGGCGAAGGCACCUUUCUAUAUUCAACUGACGCUGAGGUACGGAGCUUGGGGCGCAAACAGG
rnacentral:rRNA from 1 species